GAUGAACGCUGGCGGCAUGCCUAAUACAUGCAAGUCGAACGAGAGAGAUUAAGAAGCUUGCUUCUAAAUCAAUCUAGUGGCGAACGUGUGAGUAAUACAUAAGUAAUCUGCCUGUAAGACUGGGAUAACUACUGGAAACGGUUUGUAAUACCGGAUGUAUACUUGAGAGGCAUCUCUCAAAGUAAAAGUUUAGAUACACUUACAGAUGAGCUUAUGGCGCAUUAGCUAGUUGGUAGGGUAAUGGCCUACCAAGGCGAUGAUGCGUAGCCGACCUGAGAGGGUGACCGGCCACACUGGGACUGAGACACGGCCCAGACCCCUACGGGAGGCAGCAGUAGGGAAUUUUCGGCAAUGGGCGAAAGCCUGAACCAGCCAAGUCGCGUGAAGGAAGACUGCCUUAUGGUUGUAAACUUCUUUUAUAAAGGAAUAAAAAGUACUACGAGUAGACUAUUGCAUGUACUUUAUGAAUAAGCAUCGGCUAACUCCGUGCC
rnacentral:rRNA from 1 species